AGAAAAACAAAAUAAAUAAGAGAAUUUCUCUGCUCUUGUGUUCUCUAGUGCUCUUUUAGGGGAGGGGGCUUCCAACUGGGCAGGGUGCAUUGGGUGCCGCUCUCCACCUGCCUCUCAUCUCAGCCUGUAGUGACAGGCGUUUGCUGGGAUUACAGGUGUGAGCCACUGUGCCUGGCCAAAAGGGUCAAUUUUAUACUACGUAAUUUUCACCUAAAUUAAAAAAAAAUUAAUGUAAAAAAUGUAUGCUCAUUUAUUUACUCAAAGCCCUCCGCACAGUGCCUGGCACAAUAGCAAGUGCUGAAUGAAGGUUGGCUUUUAAGAACAGUAACAGUGACACAACUCACCUCCAGUCUUUGGAAAUCACACUUCUUAUAGAUGGAACAUGAGAGGAGGAACUGGGCAAAGCGCCCCUCGUUUUGGGGUUAGACAAAACCCACGCAUUGGACGAGGUGUGUGGCCAAGGGUGUGCCCGGGUUCUGGGACUGCUUUUGCAGGUCUCUCUGUCUUACGCCAGGAUGAGUUAAAGACCCCUGGUACAGCCCGGUGCUGCCAACUACAAUUUGGCUAAUGCCUUAAUUGCAUCUGCUUCAGCGGCCUUCCUUCUGGCUCGGGGACCAUGUCUAU
rnacentral:lncRNA from 10 species